GAGCGCAGUUCGGUAAUACAUAAUUUGAAGUGCCGUAAGUUUUAUUAUUUUAAUUAAUAGUUAAUAAUUCAACAAUAAAGGUCUCUUGUCGUUUUUCAAUUGGAGCCAUAUUUGUGCUAGAAAACGUGGUAGGUACUUAUUUAAAAUAACGAAAUCGUAUUUUUUUCGCGGUUAAUCGUUUUUAUUUUAAAUACCGUUUCGAAAAUCAAAAAAUGAUUUAUGUAUUCACUAAGUAGAUAAAAUUGACUUU